UCUUGCUCACAGACUUCACAGAAAAGGAUACACAGGCUUCGGAUGCAACUAAAGGAACACGGAAAAUUACUUAAGAUUCCUGAGGUCUCCAGGAUGGCAGUUAACCGAAUGAUUCUUCACCCAUACCUCUGGCUGAAUAUGAGCCCACCAACUUCCAACUCCCCCGCCCCCCCUCACGCCAUAUCACGUCAACGAGAAGUACCCAGAUUUAAACAGAGGCACGUAUACCAAAGAAGGUUGGGGUGUUUGACUGGAAUCACCAGCUCAACCCUAUUUCUCUCUCUCCAAACCCUGGCCUCUCAGAAAAACCACCAAAAAGUCUAGUUCCCCAAUCCUGGGGAUUGUGGCAGCUCCUCCCCUGAAGUUGCUGGCUGCCCAAUUCCUGCCCAAAGCAUUAUAGUUGGGUGCAAACCUAGCCUGUGGCAGACGUCAUCACCCUGCACGUAUUCAAGCUCCCUCCUUUACAUCAGCCAUGUGAUUUUUUUUUCCCUGCCUCAAUCUCUGGGGGCUGGAGGAACUACCCAGGAGUUGCUUUGCUCAGAAUAAACUUGGUCUUUUACCUUUUUAA